rnacentral:rRNA from 1 species
UAAGGAAUAUUGUGCAAUGGGCGAAAGCCUGACACAGCAACGCCGCGUGCGGGAAGAAGGUCUUCGGAUCGUAAACCGCUUUUCUAGAGGACGAGAGAGGACGGUACUCUAGGAAUAAGUCUCGGCUAACUACGUGCCAGCAGCCGCGGUAAAACGUAGGAGGCAAGCGUUAUCCGGAUUUACUGGGCGUAAAGCGCGUGCAGGCGGUUUGAGAAGUCGUGCGUGAAAGCUCCCUGGCUUAACCGGGAGAGGUCGUGCGGAACUCUCAGACUAGAGACAAGUAGAGGCAAGUGGAAUUCCGGGUGUAGUGGUGAAAUGCGUAGAGAUCCGGAGGAACACCAGUGGCGAAGGCGGCUUGCUAGGCUUGUUCUGACGCUCAGACGCGACAGCAUGGGGAGCGAACGGG